rnacentral:lncRNA from 1 species
GUUUGGUGUCUCUUCACAUGGACUCGAGUGAACUUUGAUGCCGUGGCUCGGAUCGGGGGACCUCCCUUAGGAGAUCAAUCCCCCGUCCUCCUGCUCUUUGCUCCAUGAGAAAGAUCCACCUACGACCUUAGGUCCUCAGACCAACCAGCCCAAGAAACAUCUCACCAAUUUUAAAUCCAGUAAGCCGCCUCUUUUUACUCUCUUCUCCAACCUCCCUCACUAUCCCUCAACCUCUUUCUCCUUUCAAUCUUGGCGCCACACUUCAAUCUCUCCCUUCUCUUAGUUUCAAUUCCUUUCAUUUUCUGGUAGAGACAAAGGAGACACGUUUUAUCUGUGGACCCAAAACUCCAGCGCUGGUCACGGACUGGGAAGGCAGCCUUCCCUUGCUGUUUAAUCAUUGCAGGGACACCUCUCUGAUUAUUCACCCACGUUUCAAGGGUGUCAGACCAUGCAGGGAUGCCUGCCUUGGUCCUUCACCCUUAGCGGCAAGUCCCGCUUUUCUGGGGAAGGGGAAAGUACCCCAACCCCUUCUCUCUGUGUCUCUACCCGUUCUCUGCUUUUCUGGGGAAGGGGCAAGUACCCCAACCCCUUCUCUCUGUGUCUCUACCCCUUCCCUGCUUUUCUGGGGAAGGGGCAAGUACCCCAACCCCUUCUCUUCUUGUCUCUACCCCUUCUCUGAUUUUCUGGGGCAGGGGCAAGAACCCCUCAACCCCUUCUCCUUCACCCUUAGUGGCAAGUCCCACUUUUCUGGGGGAGGGGAAAGUACCCCUCAACCCCUUCUCCUUCACCCUUAGUGGCAAGUCCCGCUUUUCUAGGGGGCAAGAACCCCCAAUCCCUUAUUUCCACACCCCGACCUCUUAUUUCUGUGACCCAAUCCCUUAUUUCCACACCCCAACCUCUUAUCUCUGUGCCCCAAUCCCUUAUUUCCAUGCCCCAACCCCCCUUCCCACUUUUCUAGGGGGCAAGAACCCCCAAUCCCUUAUUUCCACACCCUGACCUCUUAUCUCUGUGCCCCAAUCCCUUAUUUCUGUGCCCCAACCCUUUCUCUGCUUUUCUGGAGGGCAAGAAACCCCCACCCCUUCUCCGUGUCUCUACUCUUUUCUCUGGGCUUGCCUCCUUCACUAUGGGCAAGCUUCCACCUUCCAUUCCUCCUUCUUCUCCCUUAGCCUGUAUUCUUAAGAACUUAAAACCUCUUCAACUCUCACCUGACCUAAAAUCUAAGUGUCUCAUUUUCUUCUGCAAUGCCUCUUGACCCCAAUACAAACUCUACAGUAGUUCCAAAUAGCCGGAAAACGGCACUUUCAAUUUUUCCAUCCUACAAGAUCUAAAUAAUUCUUGUCAUAAAAUGGGCAAAUGGUCUGAGGUGCCUGACAUCCAGGCAUUCUUUUACACAUCAGUCCCUUCCUAGUCUCUGUGCCCAGUGCAACUCAUUCUGAAUCUUCCUUCUUUCCCUCCCGCCUGUCCCCUCAGUCCCAACCCCAAGCGUCACUGAGUCUUUCUAAUCUUCCUUUUCUACAGACCCAUCUGACCUCUCCCCUCCUUGCCAGGCCAAGCUAGGUCCCAAUUCUUCCUCAGCCUCCGCUCCUCCACCCUGUAAUCUUUUUAUCGCCUCCCCUCCUCACACCUGGUCUGGCUUACAGUUUCGUUCUGUGACUAGCCCUCCCCCACCUGCCCAGCAAUUUACUCUUAAAAAGGUGGCUGGAGCCAAAGGCAUAGUCAAGGUUAAUGCUCCUUUUUCUUUAUCCCAAAUCAGAAGCGUUUAGGCUCUUUUUCAUCAAAUAUAAAAACCCAGCCCAGUUCAUGUCUCGUUCGGCAGCAACCCUGAGAUGCUUUACAGCCCUAGACCCUAAAAGGUCAAAAGGCCAUCUUAUUCUCAAUACACAUUUUAUUACCCAAUCUGCUCCCGACAUUAAAUAAAACUCCAAAAAUUAGAAUCUGGCCCUCAAACCCCACAACAGGACUUAAUUAACCUCACCUUCAAGGUGUACAAUAAUAAAAAAAAGGAAGUUGCAAUUCCUUGCCUCCACUGUGAGACAAACCCCAGCCACAUCUCCAGCACACAACAACUUCCAAAUGCCUGAACCGCAGUGGCCAGACAUUCCUCCAGAACCUCCUCCCCCAGGAGCUUGCUGCAAGUGCCAGAAAUCUGACCACCAGGGCAAGGAAUGCCUGCAGCCCAGGGAUUCCUCCUAAGCCAUGUCCCAUCUGUGCGGGACCCCACUGGAAAUCGGACUGUUCAACUCACCUGGCAGCCACUCCCAGCGCCCCUGGAACUCUGGCCCAAGGCUCUCUGACUGACUCCUUCUUGGCUUAGUGGCUGAAGACUGACGCUGCCUGAUCGCCUCAGAAGCCCUGUAGACCACCAUGGACACCGAGCUUUAGGUAACUCUCACAGUGGAGGGUAAGUCUGUCCCCUUCUUAAUCAAUAUGGAGGCUACCCACUCCACAUUACCUUCUUUUCAAGGGCCUGUUUCCCUUGCCUCCAUAACUGUUGUGGGUAUUGACAGCCAGGCUUCUAAACCUCUUAAAACUCCCCAACUCUGGUGCCAACUUGAACAACACUCUUUUAUGCACUCUUUUUUAGUUAUCUCCACCUGCCCAGUUCCCUUAUCAGGCCGAGAUAUUUUAACCAAAUUAUCUGCUUCCCUGACUAUUCCUGGACUACAGCUGCAUCUCAUUGCUGCCCUUCUUCCCAAUCCAAAGCCUCCUUUGCGUCCUCCUCUUGUAUUCCCCCACCUUAACCCACAAGUAUAAGAUACCUCUACUCCCUCCUUGGCGACCGAUCAUGCACCCCUUACCAUCUCAUUAAAACCUAAUCACGCUUACCCGACUCAAUGCCAAUAUCCCAUCCCACAGCAUGCUUUGAAAGGAUUAAAGCCUGUUAUCACUCACCUGCUACAGCAUGGCCUUUUAAAGCCUAUAAACUCUCCUUACAAUUCCCCCGUUUUACCUGUCCUAAAACCAGACAAGGCUUACAACUUAGUUCAGAAUCUGUGCCUUAUCAACCAAAUUGUUUUGCCUAUCCACCCCGUGGUGCCAAACCCAUAUACUCUCCUAUCCUCAAUACCUCCCUCUACUACCCAUUAUUCUGUUCUGGAUCUCAAACAUGCUUUCUUUACUAUUCCUUUGCACUCUUCAUCUCAGCCUCUCUUUGCCUUCACUUAGACUGACCCUGACACCCAUUAGGCUCAGCAGCUUACCUGGGCUGUGCUGCCGCAAGGUUCCAGGGACAGCCCUCAUUACUUCAGCCAAGCUCUUUCUCAUGAUCUACUUUCUUUCCACCCCUCCACUUCUCACCUUAUUCAAUAUAUUGAUGACCUUCUUCUUUGUAGCCCCUCCUUUGAAUCUUCUCAACAAGACAUACUUCUGCUCCUUCAGCAUUUAUUCUCCAAAGGAUAUCGGGUAUCCCCCUCCAAAGCUCAAAUUUCUUCUCCAUCCGUUACCUACCUCGGCAUAAUUCUUCACAAAAACACAGGUGCUCUCCCUGCUGAUGGUGUCUGAUUAAUCUCCCAAACCUCAAUCCCUUACAAAACAACAACUCCUUUCCUUCCUAGGCAUGGUUAGUGCGGU